UACAGAGGUCCCGAGCGUUGUUCGGAUUCACUGGGCUUAAAGGGUGCGUAGGCUGUGCGGAAAGUUGGGUGUGAAAUACCUCAGCUUAACUGAGGAACUGCAUUCAAAGCUACCGUGCUAGAGGAAGAUAGAGGUGAGCGGAACUUAGGGUGGAGCGGUGAAAUGCGUUGAUAUCCUAAGGAACACCGGUGGCGAAAGCGGCUCACUGGAUCUUUUCUGACGCUGAGGCACGAAAGCUAGGGUAGCGAACGGG
rnacentral:rRNA from 1 species